rnacentral:rRNA from 1 species
UGCGUAGGCGGAUUAAUAAGUCAGUGGUGAAAUCUUCCGGCUCAACCGGGAACCUGCCAUUGAUACUGUUAGUCUUGAGUUCGGCUGAGGUAGGCGGAAUGUGUAAUGUAGCGGUGAAAUGCUUAGAUAUUACACAGAACACCAAUUGCGUAGGCAGCUUACUAGACCGACACUGACGCUGAGGCACGAAAGCGUGGGGAGCGAACAGGAUUAGAUACCCUGGUAGUCC